rnacentral:rRNA from 1 species
GGAUUAGGCAUGCAAGUCGAACGGUAUAAACCUUUCGGGGUUUAGAGAGUGGCGAACGGGUGAGUAACACGUAGGUAAUCUACCCUCAAAACGGGGACAACCCAGGGAAACUUGGGCUAAUACCGGAUGCGUGCAAACAAUGUUUUGGCUGUUAAUGCUAUUCACGGAAGUGAGUAGUGUUAAUGGUUGAGAGCAUUAUUUGCAUAAAAGGUGGCAUUUGCUGCCGUUUGAGGAUGAGCCUGCGUCCUAUUAGUUAGUUGGUGAGGUAAUGGCUUACCAAGGCGAUGAUAGGUAGGCGGCCUUAACGGGUGGUCGCCCACACUGGGAUUGAGAGACGGCCCAGACUCCUACGGGAGGCAGCAGUCGAGAAUAGUCUACAAUGGACGGAAGUCUGAUAGUGCGACGCCGCGUGAACGAAGAAUCCCUUCGGGGUGUAAAGUUCUUUUAUACGUGAGCAGUGCCCUUUAUAUGAAUAGUAUAGAGGGAGGGAUUUAAGCGUAUGAAUAAGCAACGGCUAACUCCGUGCCAGCAGCCGCGGUAACACGGGGGUUGCAAGCGUUGUCCGGAAUUACUAGGCGUAAAGUGCAGGUAGGCGGAUAGAUAAGUUUAAGGUUAAAGGCUACGGCUUACCCGUAGUAAGGCGUUAGAUACUGUUUAUCUGGAAUGCGGUUGAGGGAGACAGAAUUCCUGGUGUAGCGGUGGAAUGCGCAGAGAUCAGGAGGAAUACCGAAAGCGAAGGCAGUCUUCUAAGCCGAUAUUGACGCUAAACUGCGAAAGUGUGGGGGAUCAAACAGGACUAAAUACCCUGGUAGUCCACACAUUAAACGAUAAUCACUAGGUGUUGGGUUCCUAAUAGACUCGGUGCCGGAACUAACGCGAUAAAUGAAUCGCCUGGGGAAUACGAUCCGCAAGGUUAAACUCAAAAGAAUUGACGGGGGCCCCCACAAACCGUGGACCAUGUGG